rnacentral:tRNA from 1 species
GGAACGCGAUCAGUGCCGUGAGCUGCGUCUUCGCAGGUCAAGUAAGAUCGGCAUGCGUCUUUGCAAGCAGGAAGUCAGGGGUUCGAAUCCCCUAGGCUCCA